rnacentral:rRNA from 1 species
AACGUAGGAGACGAGCGUUAUCCGGAGUUACUGGGCGUAAAGGGCGUGUAGGCGGUUUGUUAAGUCUGGCGUGAAAGCUCUCGGCUAAACCGGGAGAGGUCGUUGGAUACUGGCAAACUAGAGGAUGGUAGAGGCGUGUGGAAUUCCGGGUGUAGUGGUGAAAUGCGUAGAGAUCCGGAGGAACACCAGUGGCGAAGGCGACACGCUGGGCCAUACCUGACGCUAAAGCGCGACAGCAUGGGGAGCAAACGGG